GCGGCCUAUCAGCUUGUUGGUGAGGUAAUGGCUCACCAAGGCAACGACGGGUAGCUGGUCUGAGAGGAUGAUCAGCCACACUGGGACUGAGACACGGCCCAGACUCCUACGGGAGGCAGCAGUGGGGAAUCUUGCGCAAUGGGCGAAAGCCUGACGCAGCCACGCCGCGUGCGGGAUGAAGGCCCUAGGGUUGUAAACCGCUUUUAACAGGAACGAAAAUGACGGUACCUGUAGAAUAAGGUGCGGCCAACUACGUGCCAGCAGCCGCGGUGACACGUAGGCACCAAGCGUUGUCCGGAUUUAUUGGGCGUAAAGAGCUCGUAGGCGGUUCAGUAAGUCGAGUGUGAAAACUCUGGGCUUAACCCAGAGACGCCACUCGAUACUAUUGUGACUAGAGUUCGGUAGGGGAGACUGGAAUUCCU
rnacentral:rRNA from 1 species